rnacentral:rRNA from 1 species
AGAGUUUGAUCCUGGCUCAGGAUGAACGCUGGCGGCGUGCUUAACACAUGCAAGUCGAACGGGGAUUAUUUCAUUGAAGCUUCGGCAGAUUUGGUUUAAUCCUAGUGGCGGACGGGUGAGUAACGCGUGGGUAACCUGCCUUGUACAGGGGGAUAACAGUCAGAAAUGACUGCUAAUACCGCAUAAGCGCACAGGACCGCAUGGUCCGGUGUGAAAAACUCCGGUGGUAUAAGAUGGACCCGCGUUGGAUUAGCUAGUUGGCAGGGUAACGGCCUACCAAGGCGACGAUCCAUAGCCGGCCUGAGAGGGUGAACGGCCACAUUGGGACUGAGACACGGCCCAGACUCCUACGGGAGGCAGCAGUGGGGAAUAUUGCACAAUGGGGGAAACCCUGAUGCAGCGACGCCGCGUGAAGGAAGAAGUAUCUCGGUAUGUAAACUUCUAUCAGCAGGGAAGAAAAUGACGGUACCUGACUAAGAAGCCCCGGCUAACUACGUGCCAGCAGCCGCGGUAAUACGUAGGGGGCAAGCGUUAUCCGGAUUUACUGGGUGUAAAGGGAGCGUAGACGGAUGGACAAGUCUGAUGUGAAAGGCUGGGGCUCAACCCCGGGACUGCAUUGGAAACUGCCCGUCUUGAGUGCCGGAGAGGUAAGCGGAAUUCCUAGUGUAGCGGUGAAAUGCGUAGAUAUCGGGAGGAACACCAGUGGCGAAGGCGGCCUACUGGGCACCAACUGACGCUGAGGCUCGAAAGUGUGGGUAGCAAACAGGAUUAGAUACCCUGGUAGUCCACACCGUAAACGAUGAUUACUAGGUGUUGGAGGAUUGACCCCUUCAGUGCCGCAGUUAACACAAUAAGUAAUCCACCUGGGGAGUACGACCGCAAGGUUGAAACUCAGAGGAAUUGACGGGGGCCCGCACAAGCAGUGGAGUAUGUGGUUUAAUUCGACGCAACGCGAAGAACCUUACCAAGUCUUGACAUCCCUUGACGAUGCUGGAAACAGUAUUUCUCUUCGGAGCAAGGAGACAGGUGGUGCAUGGUUGUCGUCAGCUCGUGUCGUGAGAUGUUGGGUUAAGUCCCGCAACGAGCGCAACCCUUAUGGUCAGUUACUACGCAAGAGGACUCUGGCCAGACUGCCGUUGACAAAACGGAGGAAGGUGGGAUGACGUCAAAUCAUCAUGCCCUUUAUGACUUGGGCUACACACGUACUACAAUGGCGUUAAACAAAGAGAAGCAAGACCGCGAGGUGGAGCAAAACUCAGAAACAACGUCCCAGUUCGGACUGCAGGCUGCAACUCGCCUGCACGAAGUCGGAAUUGCUAGUAAUCGUGGAUCAGCAUGCCACGGUGAAUACGUUCCCGGGCCUUGUACACACCGCCCGUCACACCAUGAGAGCCGGGGGGACCCGAAGUCGGUAGUCUAACCGCAAGGAGGACGCCGCCGAAGGUAAAACUGGUGAUUGGGGUGAAGUCGUAACAAGGUA